rnacentral:rRNA from 1 species
GAUGAACGCUAGCAGAACGCCUAACACAUGCAAGUCGAACGAACCAGCAAUGGUUAGUGGCAAACGGGCGAGUAACGCGUAUCUAACCUACCCUUGAGUGAGGCACAACUACAGAGAUGUAGCUAAUUCCUCAUACGUUCUAGAGAAUGAAAAUAUCUAGAAGAAAGAUUUAUCGCUCAGGGAGGGGGGGUGCGUCCUAUCAGGUAGUUGGUGAGGUAAUAGCUCACCAAGCCUAUGACGGGUAGCCGGUCUGAGAGGAUGUCCGGCCGCAAUGGAACUGAGAACGGUCCAUACUCCUACGGGAGGCAGCAGUGGGGAAUAUUGGACAAUGGGCGAAAGCCUGAUCCAGCGAUUCUGCGUGAAGGAUGAAGCCUUAUGGGGUGUAAACUUCUUUUCUGGGGGAAGACGAAUGACGGUACCUCAGGAAUAAGAGACGGCUAACUACGUG